GGACCAAUAAAGAAUUAUCCUAGACUUACCGUCGCUGCUUUGGAUGCUACUGGCGAGGAAGAUCCAAUCGUUUCGGGAACUUUCUUCAUUUCUUUUGCGAAUCCGUCGUGCUUCCUUUUGACAACAAGGGUGCAGCAUGAGAAUUCAUCAUGUUCACUCUGGCAAGCCCAUACAACUUCACGAAGUGUUCGCGAAGCCUGUGAUUGGGCAUACGAAGCAGCGUGCAGUUUGUAUGCGGGGCGCAAAUAUAAGUAUCGAUCAAAAAGGUGCGACUCGAAGGUAAUUACAAAUCAAUGAGAACAUCGGAUAGAUACGUGUCAUUAUUGCUGCACCGCCAAAAAUAUGGCUGCAUUAUUUCAAACAUGGUUUCAUUGAAAAUG
rnacentral:lncRNA from 1 species